AGAUGGAAGGCAGGCAGAGAAUGAGGUAUUGGUCAGACCGGAAGGGUGCAGUUUUCUUACUAAAAUUGGACUAAGUACAUCAGGGUAGAGUCUGAGCAUCCAACAAGGAAACUUGAGAGGGCCAGGGGAUUAAGAGGUUGCUCCAAGAGAGAAUCUGCAGUCUGUGUCCUUUUCAGAGUAGGAAGCUCUGCCACCCACGCCUUGCCUCAGGCUUAUGGUUUUUGAGUAGGGAGCUCCUCUUAUCCCAGUAGCUGGCAAGCUCUCUUGUGUUUUGCCUUAACUAAAAGGCAAGAGGCAAACAUUCAGGAUGAAUCAUCGUCCUGCUCUUGCCAAGUGGCUGGAGGCCCCAGGUCUGCAGAGGCUUUUCCAGUGCCUGUUAGAUACUGUGUGUGGAUUCUAACCCAAAAAGAGGAAUUCACAGUGGACUUGGGGGUGGGAGGACAAGAGGGAGAGAGGGGGCAGGGCACAAGAGACUUCCAAGCAAGGAGAAUUGUCUUGUGAGCUGCUUUGCCUGUGUGCCUCAAGCCUGCUUGCAGAAGGUGAGCAGGUUUUUAACAGUGAACCUAAGAAGGGAGCUAGAGGCAUCUAAUCGGGAAGGCUGCUGCUUUAUUUUGUAGCUCAGGAGCCCAAAUAUUCAAUGAAAGAAAUGUACUUGCUUGAGGUUACAUAAUUGCCAAGUGGUAGAACCGUAGUAUCUAUCUAUUUUCUGCCUCAGUCAUGAGCGAUUGCUUGUUUCUCCAAGGACACUGAUGGGUGGAACCUGGGAGGGAAGGAGAGUACUCAGAGACUCACGUGGAGUGGGAACACCAACCCCAUGACAUCACUUCUCUUUAAAACUUUUUUACAUCUAUAUACAUAAUUACUUAUGUAUUUAUUUCUUGUGUGUGCAUGUGUAUGGACACAUUGCCGUGUAUUUGUAGAGGUCAGAGAUUACCCUGCAGAGGUUGACUUUCUCCUUCCACUGUGUGGGUCCCAGAGAUUCGACUCAGGUCAUCAGGCUUAGCAGCAAGCGCCUUGCGCAGGUGAGCCCUCUCGCUGGCCCAGCGUCUGUUUUAAAAAGAGUCACGAUGACACCAAAGAUGGAUUGCCAGUCUGUAAUCCCAGCAUUUACAAAAUGGAGAUGAGUCAUGAGUUCGGGCCAGUCUGAAUUAUGUAACAAGGCCCUGUCUACAAACAAACAAACGAAGUCUGACUUUAUUAUGUUUUUUAGAACUAUAUUAUUAUUAUUACUACUACUAUUACUAUUAUUAUUAUUAAUUGCAUUGGCUGGCGUUUCUUUUUUUAUUUUUUAUUAGAUAUUUUCUUCAUUUACAUUUCAAAUGCUAUCCCCUUUCCUAGUGUCCUCUCCGAAAAUCCCCUAUCCCCUUCCCCCUCCUCCUGCUCCCCAACCCACUCACUCCAGCUUCCUGGUCCUGACAUUCCCUAUACGGGCAUAGGGCAUAGAAUCUUUGCAAGACCAAGGGCCCCUCCUCCCAUUGAUGGCUGACUAGGCCUUCCUCUGCUACAUAUGCAGCUAGAGCCACGAGCUCUGGGGGAUACUGGUUAGUUCAUAUUGUUGUAGAGCUCCUAUAGGGUUGCAGACCCCUUCAGCUCCUUGGGUGCUUUCUCUAGCUCCUCCAUUGGGGGCCCUGUGUUCCAUCCAAUUGAUGACUGUGAGCAUCCACUUCUGUGUUUGCCAGGCACUGCCAUAGCCUCACAAGAGACAGUACACUGUGGAGGAGCGUUGAUAGUCCUUUUCCUGAUCGUAGAGGAAAGAUCCCUGAUACUUUCUUACCUUUUUAUUUUUAGAGACAGGGGCUCAUGUAGUCCAGGCUGGCCUUGAACUUCUGAACUCCUGGUCUCCAUGGCCACCACUUGUCAGGCACUGGUGUUACAGGCAUGUGUCACCAUGACUUCUUUAAGCAGUGCUGAGGAUUGAGCCUUUCAUACAAGCGAGGCGAGCACUUUACCAGCUGAGCUACAUCCUAGGCUCCAAAGUAUAUAUUAUUCAUAUUAAGAUGGGCCCAUACUAUGAUAUUAAUGGGUUUCUAUUGGCACAACUCUUGAAUUAUUGAACAAAUCCCUCUAAUUUGUGAUGCAUUAUUUCUUAAUGUAAUGUUGGACUCUGCUAAUAUUUAGAAAAUUCCCAAUGGUAUUUGUCAAUGGUAUUUGUCUGUAUAUGUUUUUUUACACUGACUUCCUCUUGUUUCCACAUAGAUAUUAUAUUUGCUCUAUAAAAUUAGGAUGUCUCCUUCCUUUUUUUUUUUUGUGCUCUGAAAUACCUCAGAGCAUUGGAAUAUCUGAUCUUUGAUACAUUGAUAGGGAUGGUAGAUUUCUUGUUUAGGUUCUUUUGUGGGGGGAUAAUUCUUCGAUACAUGUCUGUAAUUGUGUAAUAUAUAUUCCUUCCACACCUGCUGGUACGUGCUUCUUAGGGCCUUCAUUUCGGGGAGACUCCUGUGUCAUUUAAACUUAUAUUAAGUAAACUUGUAUAGUUUG
rnacentral:lncRNA from 1 species